UGAACAAGGAACAUUAGACUCUUAAGUGCAAAUAUUUCUGGCAAUGAAAGAGUGGGCUGAAACCGCCCCCCACCACCAAUUCUUUGAAAAUACAGGAGAAAAAAAAAGACCCAGAAAUUCCUGGUGUCUUUCAACAUAAUAUAAAGGUCACUGACAAUAGCCUACCUGUAGAUGCUGAUGUGUGACAUUUAAACUGAAUACAGGGAAAGCAUGAUAAGCAUUAAAAAGAACUAGGUGCUUUUAAGAUAAUGCUGUUUACCAAAUCAUUUCUCUUUGGGAAAAAAAAUCUACUGUUUCAUUUUAUGUUGCUUGAUAAAUAUACAUAUUGAGUGCCUUUGAGAAUGUGAAGAAUAGAAUGUCUAUUACUGAUAUUUAAUCCACUGAUUCAUAAAUAAUAUUUUUUAAAAGUGGCCUGAGCUGUCCAAACUGUCACCUGGGGAAAUAUUCUCUGGGAGAUGUUUUCAGUUGUUAGUUUAGGUUAAAAAAAAAAAAAGCUGAGGUGUUUAUAUUAGAAUAGUUGGAAAAAACCAGGUCAUUUACAACAUUUUUGCCCACAAAAAGGACACAAUGGGCUGGACUGAUUUGAUUUCUUUCUGUGAAAUCAAAUUGUUUAAGUGAAUUUAUGGAAUUAAUCCUGUAUUAGCAUUAUGUUGUCAGAGUUGAAUCUGAAUCUGGGUGAGAGGUUAGUAAGGGUGGACUAAGUAGUAAGAACUCCCAAUAGAACCCUCACCUCCAUUAGGGCUCAUGAAGAACCUCGGAGACCAGGUAGGUGAGUAGAAUCUAUGGGAUGAGGGAAAGAAAAAGGAAUAGAGAGAGCAGGGUCUAGACUCCUGGAUUCGCUGAUCUGAAUGAUGGUCUUCUUUGUAGUUCUGGUAUGGAACCUUUGAUCAAAACCACCUGUCCUGGCCAGGCAUGAAAAUAAUAGCUUGCAUAAGUGUCUCACGAGAAGAGGUCCUGAUAAAGGAACAGGAAACUAACAAGUUGCCACCAAAACCAAAGAGGCUAAAAGAGGUAGGAGAUGCCAGACCACGUGAUGCCUGACUUCUCAGAAAGUCUUGAACUAGACUCCAUCCUGACUGAGAGAUGCGCUGAAGGGCUCUGAGUGGAGCCAAAUACGGGCAGAGCAAGAUGACUGACCCAAGACAAACUGGAAACUAAUCCCAAGACUUCAAGCCUGCAGGCAGAGCUGUCUUGAGUUCUCUUCCCCCAGGAUCUCCCCUCAAGCACCGGUUUGCAAUAGGUCUUUUGCCUUGUCAGUACAGGGCCUUUAUCUCUUUGGAUAAUUCGCUUCCGAGUGUUAGAUAGGAGCCCACUCUUGGGUGCUCCUCCAGCAAGUCCAGAGGUGGAAUCCGGCACAGGUUCUUUGCCCUUUGAAGCAGUGAUUUUCAAUGGCUGCUGUGCAUUGUAUCUCAUCACCUGAUCCAGCCCACACAUGAAGCCAGUUAGUCAGCAUCUCGUGGGCUAGACCCCUGGCUCAUUUAGGGCGUCAGGAUCCCCAGGUGUUUCCAAUGUGUAGCUGGGUUUGAGACUCACGAGACCAGUGGGCUAGCUCUCGCGAUAGUGGGCUUACUUGCGAGACUCAUAGGCUUUAUAAGGUGAUGGACCCCCUCCCCCCCCCCCCCCAAAAGGCAAGCUUGACUGCCCUUGCGGUUCUCCAAGGACUCGGUGCGGGAGGAGGUGAGGCUGCAGCUGCUGCCAUCUUGUGCCUACAGGGGAGCGGUGUGAAUCAGCUGGAAGUAUAUAUUGAGCAAGGUCAACAGGGUGGCCAAUGAGCACAAUCCAUGAGGUUACUGGUGUCCAUAGUAGCUUCAUAAUUAAGAAGCUGAGUGUGCCUGUUGCCAACUUUCUCACCUGUCAAUAGAAAAGAAAUAAUACCACCCCAUCUGCUAAAGGUUGACUGAAAAUAUCUUCAAGGAAACAGCUGGGGCCAGAAGCCAAGCUGGUGAAGGCUGAAUCCAUUGUAGCAGGGAGAUAAUUGGUCUCAGAAGAAAAGGCUUCCAAAAGCUCGGCUAUUCAACAUGACUUCAAGGAGUGUCUCUGGGGGAAGACUGAUCUUGACAUGCCAUUCUUCUUUCUGUGGUGUCCUCUGACAGUGUAUGAAGACGAUGACAGGUAUCGGGGGAGUCAAGAGAGAAGCUCCCAGAGUGUUUGCAGGAGAUUCAUUCCUGUGGCAGGCAAAGUUGAUCAAGGUGUGGAAUCUGUUCAGUCCACUGGCUUCAAGGCAAGCUCCAACUCUGAGCAGAGGAGUAAGACCUCUGAAGGUGCCAUGCCUCUUGCAGAGGCAUGAAAUGGUUUAGGGAAAGGGUGAAUGUUUAGUCUGUCCUCUGUGCCAGAGUUUCCCCAUCCGUGGGCUUGGAAGCUUUGGGAAAUGAAGUGAUGACUGUCAAUGAUGGAUUUUUUUUUUUCCCCCAUCAAGAGUGAGUCUUGUGCACAAAAAAUAUGAUUCAAGGGCGACAUUGGUUUUAAAUAUUAAUGUUUAGUUGAAUAAAGUUGCUCAAGUAAAA